rnacentral:rRNA from 1 species
CAAUCUACCUUUCCGUCCGGGAUAACUAGCCGAAAGGUUAGCUAAUACCAGAUGCGCUCAUCGAACGGCAUCGUUUGAUGAUGAAAGCAGCAAUGCGCGGAUUGAGGAGCCUGCGGCCCAUUAGCUAGUUGGUGAGGUAACGGCCCACCAAGGCAACGAUGGGUAGCUGGUCUGAGAGGACGACCAGCCACACUGGAACUGAGACACGGUCCAG